AGGGCCUGGUGUCACACACAGAGCUGUGGUGAGGGGCAGAGGGACAGUCCAUGGUCAGUGUUAUGCCUAAGGAGGAGAACAGGGAGCUUUUGUGCCUGCCUGGAGGCCUUUGCCAGCUGCAAUGCACUGGAGAGAACUGGUUUCCCAUCACGAGAUCCAUCUCACACCGUGGCAUCAGCUUAGCCUGGCUCCAAGCCCUCCCUUCCUUGCCCACCAGAUCAACAGGCUUCUCUUGGAGCAGCUCAAUGUGCUCGAGCACCCAGGUUCAGAUGGAUCGCCACAAAUCCAGCUGUGUUAGUCACAGAAGUCACUGAAGGCCAGAAAUGGUGCAAUAACACCUAAAAAUACCCACACUGCGCUGAGCAGCCCCGGUUUCCGUCAUCGUCCAGAGGCAUCUGUGUAUUGUGCGUGCGGGAGAGCUGGGGAGAAAGCGGCCAUAAAUCCCGCCGGCCUCACUCUCGGCCUCUCCCGCCCGCCACCGGCCUGGUGCUGUCUGGCAGGCGCGAGCCCCGGCUGUCAUCGAGAGAUCAGACGGGGCUGAAAUUUGACAGGCCUGUGGAAAAACACGGGGUGACAUCACGCAGAGACACCAGCCCACUGAUUAAUCUCCGAGGUCAGUGGCUGCUUUAUUUAUUACCGGGGAAGGGUUUGAGGUGGGUUUUUACAGGAGUGGAGCAGCAUGGGCUGCCUUUUCCUUAUCCCCGGAGCAGCCGCCUUCCCAUGCUGGUGGGGACACCUCUGCCUCCUCUGGACACCACUGGAGCAGCUGAAAUGGCUCAGGAGCACCAAAAUCAAGCCUAAACCAGCACUGGAGCCCAGCUGGAGCGACUGGUCUCUCCAUGGCACUGGUGCGCCUCGUCUGGAUUCCAGCUGUUUUCCUUGCUCCUGGAGUUUCUCCUUACCCUCCCCAGCAGAAACAGCUCAGCUCCCCCCAAAACACAGCACAUCAAACUUGAAAUGUUUUGUGAAACCUUGUCAAGCUUUGGAGGAAAGGGAAGGUGGUCCCAGGGCAAAAACAUUCUGUUUCUUCAAUUUCAAAACAACAUUUCCUAUUUCUGGUG